rnacentral:lncRNA from 1 species
GGCUUGGAGAGGAAGCUGUUUUGUGGCUUGGAGGGGAAGCAUGAGGCUUUGUGCUGUUUAUUUGCAUAUUAUCGGCCAACAUUUUAGUUUUAUGGAUAUUAAAAUAAACAAUAAUAAAAGUAAUAAAUAAAAAUAGAAGGACCAAAAUAAAACAAAAUGAGGUAAAAAGAUAAAAAAAAAAAAAACUUAAAACAGAUUUAAAAUUAAUAAAAGAUGGAAAUUAAAAUUAAAUGAAAAAAAAAAUGAAAAUUGAGUGAAGAGGGUCCGACUCGGAAUCAA